UCUGUGUGUGUGGUGUGUGUGUGUAUGUAUGUAUGUAUGUAUGUAUACACACACACACACACACAGA